AUUUCAAGAAAUGGCAGAAGGGACAGACAUCCACCUCAUUGAGCUGGUAAGAAACAGUAAAUACAUAAUGCUGUGAUAGACAGUACAAAAUCAUUUGUGUACAUUUGUUAAAAAUGUCAACUUUGUGAUGAAAAUGUUCACGUCAAACUCCCCCUGUGUGUACAGAUGUUGAAGGUGAAAGCUCACAAUACACUCCUUGAGAUCGAGCAGGGAGUUCGUAGAGAGCUGAGCGUUACCCAAUGCCAACAUCACCAGUCUUCAGUAGAGGCAACCAUGGAGGGGCAGCAGCUCCUGACCAACAAGCCCAAGCCACUGGUUCCUUCCCAUGAGCCUCUGGGGACUACAGCUGUGAUGAGUGGUGAUGUUGGAGGUGGUCUGUCAGACAAACAGGCCCAACCUGAGGUCAGGUCAGAGGAGAUGCUCCAGAUGAAGCCCCUCUGCCAAACUCCGGUGGGGGUCCGGGGUUGCCUGGUGGACAGUGUGAUUAAUGGAGAAGACCCGGAGAUUAAUGAUGAGGUCCUUGUGGCAGAACCAAUCCCCACUCCCCUCUUAUCCACAGCAGUGAUAGUCAGGGAGGUCCAGGAGUGCCUGGUGGACAAGGAGAAGACGGUUGAGGUUCUGGACCAGAGCAUUUCUCCAAGGAUCCAAAAGGCCCUCAGAGACAUUGAGGCCAUGGUGAACUCCAGAAAGAAGUCCAAGGUCGUGCCAAAGCAGCUUGUGGUACUUGGUUUCACCAUCAAGCACAUUGUCACUCAGGUGCUGUCUCACUUAUAUCAACCAGCCUUUCAGGAAGAAGUCUGUUUGGAGACAGCUGCUAUUGUGGAUGACACCCAAGCUCUUCUGUGGUCUAUUCCCUGGGUUCAAGUCACAGAGGAGGAGGAGCUGUCUAACUCCCAGUGCAUUGAUACCUCUGAGGUGACCAAGGCUGUCAUUAACACCCUGGAUAAGGUACUAGGCCCCAAACCACUGGUAGGAGCUCUGGGAAUAGGCUCACAGAUAUUGAGCAGGUACAUUGUUCAUCUUGUUGGCCUGUCCAUUGCUAAGACAGUACCUGACGUUUACGCUGCCAACGAAGAGGAGAGACAUAUUAGCCAGGAUAUGGUGAACAUCUGUCCUCUACCUGCUAAAUAUGUCAUCAGUGGAGAAUUAUUAGGUGACUUUGUGGUGAAGUUUAUGCUUCAACUUCACCCAAUGAACAGACUAGGCUCCAAGCAACUCAACCAACAGGCUCUGCUCUUACUGGUGGUUAAAAUGGCCUCAGUAGCUUUUCAUGUCUUGAGGAAGAUCCCGGGUGUUUCCGUGGAUGAACAGCUGUGUGCCCCCAUCUGCAACAUAAGACAGACGGUAUUACACAUGCAGAGUGCCUUGGUCCAUAAGUUUGGCACAACAAUCCAAAUAAAGCAUAUGAUGGCUAAUAAGGACCCGCUAGUCAUUUCCACAAUACCCCAGGCCAUAUGUGAGGGAAUCUUGACUGUAUACAAGGGCAUCUCUGUAACCCAUCCACUUCAAGUCACUGGCCCACAUCGUCCGAUGGCCAAGAGCUAUGAAAAGGCUAUGGAGACAAAGUUGUUUGCAGUAACUUUACCCGAGGCCCUGAAAAAGACCAUCUACCAUCAUUAUGGGUCCCGGGUCGGGAAACUGCCACUUUUUCAGAAAGCAUUUCCACCUCUGACUAGCCAUGACAAGUUUGAAUACAUCCGGCAUGUUACUCCGCCUCACUCCUCCAAAAGAGACACAAUCUGGAUCCAUCCUAAAUACUUCUUUGGGGACGACGAUGAAGAGGAAGAGUCAUCAGAUAACACAGUGCCUAACAACCCUCUGGCUCUAAAUGUCAGCAAGGCUGCUUUUUUAAACCAGUUUCCACUGACCGAUGUAUUUCAAUCCACCAAAACAGACUUCAUUGACCGUAAAACAACCCCUAGGUAUGUGCCAGUCAAGGUCAACGUGCAAACAGGGGUUAUAACAGAUGACUCUGUGGUGGCUAGUAAUAACCCAUUUGAAGUGGAAACACAACAGGAUGAAACACCAGCUGGGCCUAAGCCUGACCCCAAACCAGUAAAACCCCAGAGAAAGCAUUCGGAGAAGAUCAAAGCAUACAUCAAAUCGGGACAGUAUUUGAAAGACAAACGUCUUUAUGAACAGGCCUUAUAUCGCUACAGUGGACAGGCUGUAAGAGACCAGGCUCUGAGAGAGGCAGAGAGAAACAAACCCACGAUUAUUAUUGUUCCUCUGGUUCUAGUCUGGAACGUCUUUAAUUACGCAUUCUUGACCACGCGAUAUGUGCCGUAUGACAGUGGUCUUUGUAAUGAUAUGGUUGAUCACAUCCACAUCAAGAUUCAGAAGGAGGCACUUAAGUACAAGGACCACAGAGUGUUCAAAUCCACUCUGAAGAAUCUUGAAGAGGAUCCAUUGAUGAUGAGCACCUUUGUCUUAAACUGCUGUCAGUCAUUUGUAAUUAAAUACUGGAACAUCGUCCAGGACCAUAUACGAUCGAAAGAACAGCUGCACCCAGACAAACUGUCUCUGCUGGUCUGUGACCUCAUGGUGGGGGAGAUUAUGACUCAUCUGAGGCCUACCUUGACUUUCUCCAAAGACACUAAAGAUGGGGACAACCGGCCGUACUGCAUUAACGUCCCGGUCAAAAGAGAGACCAGCUCUCCAGAUGAUGCAGACAAGACCAAGCUGGAGCUUCGCAUUGAGAAAGCUAGGGCUGACCAAAUGAAGGAACUUCUCGUCCCAUCGGAACCCAAAGACCACUCAUGGGCGGCUUGGAUGGAAAUGAUGGAGGAGUAUGAGCAGUUUCAUAAGAAGAAAACCUGUUGGGACUGGUUCUGUGGACUGUUUCGCCGGAAGAAAAAGACCACGUUUGAAAAAAGAGUGGAAGAUUUCGAAAAAUACUGUCGCAAGAGCAGUUAGAGUCCGACACACAAACAAACCAAAUGAAUUGAUUCACACACAUUAGACUACCUUUGACAUCAAACCAAAUUAACUGACACAUGCACAUUUUUUACUUAGAAAUCCUCUGACCACAAACAAAUGAACUGAUACACACAUAAAAAAUGUGCCUUCCUCAAACCACACACAAACCAUAUGGAUUUAUACAGUACACACAUUUACAACUUAGUCUUCCUCUGACAACAACCUUUUCCCCUGUUAUUUAUAAAAAUAAAAUUAAAACAAUCCCUAAUGGAGGUUCUCUCUGUUUUUGUGAUGUCUUAAUAAUUAUAAUGUUCAGGUUGAUACUUUAUAGUAUUGUAAUAUUUGACAAACUAUGGAACAUUUUGUCUCAGAUUAGAAUAUAUAGAAUAGCUGCUGUGGAUGGAGUCGAUGCUAUGACAACAUCGAGACAUAUGAGUGCCUGUUAUCACUUAGGAAACAUCAUUGUGUAUUAAACGCCGUCUUUCAACAUGUAAUACUCUAAAUUUCCACAGCUCUAACAAUUUCAACACAGUUGUCGGGGCGUAACCACUGACAAGAAUAAUUAUUCAACAAGCAGGGGUAGAGCAAUAUGAACAAUGAUCUCUAAUGACAUUCGUGACACUGUACUUGACCGUGUUGUUGUUGUACAUGGUACGACAACGAGGGAAG
ensembl:lncRNA